CCUAGCUUGUCUGUCAUCGAGCAGCAGCGGAGGAUGAAAUCGCAUGGUGCCAAAGUGGGUGCCUGUGGUGACUUGGCAAUCCUGUAUGCCCCGUCGAAUAGAAAUUGCUUGGCUUGUUUCGCCAGCAGGACGGAGCCCACUAGGCGCCUGAUGUAAUGAGGCAUUUCUUCUAAGGGAAGCGUCUCAGGGAUCCCCCUACUUUUUAUGUUUUUCCUCCUGCCCCUGUCAUCCAUUAUGUUAAGCUGUCUGGCCAUUGUGGCCUGUGUGGUUUGGAUUUGUUGGACUUGGGCACUCAGGGUACGGUAGUCUUGUGUCAGGCCUGCGAGGCCUGUCUCAUUAGC